rnacentral:rRNA from 1 species
CUUUUGAGUACCUUCGUUUCCUCGGCGGGUUCGCCCGCCGAUUGGACAAUUUAAACCAUUUGCAGUUGCAAUCAGCGUCUGAAAAAACAUAAUAGUUACAACUUUCAACAACGGAUCUCUUGGUUCUGGCAUCGAUGAAGAACGCAGCGAAAUGCGAUAAGUAGUGUGAAUUGCAGAAUUCAGUGAAUCAUCGAAUCUUUGAACGCACAUUGCGCCCCUUGGUAUUCCAUGGGGCAUGCCUGUUCGAGCGUCAUUUGUACCUUCAAGCUCUGCUUGGUGUUGGGUGUUUGUCUCGCCUCUGCGCGUAGACUCGCCUCAAAACAAUUGGCAGCCGGCGUAUUGAUUUCGGAGCGCAGUACAUCUCGCGCUUUGCAUUCAGAACGACGACAUCCAAAAGUACAUUUUUAC